GUUGACGCUGACAGGUGAUCUGGCCGGAUACUGGCCAACAUGUGUCUGACUGUUCUGUUCAUAGGAAUGUUCACACUGAGGUCAUGUCUGACUGUUCUGUUCAUAGGAAUGUUCACACUGAGGUCAUGUCUGACUGUUCUGUUCAUAGCAAUGUUCACACUGAGGUCAUGUCUGACUGUUCCGUUCAUAGGAAUGUUCACAGUGAGGUCAUGUGUCUGACUGUUCCAUUCAAUAGGAAUGUUCACAGUGAGGUCAUGUCUGACUGUUCCAUUCAUAGGAAUGUUCACAGUGAGGUCAUGUCUGACUGUUCCAUUCAUAGGAAUGUUCACACUGAGGUCAUGUCUGACUGUUCUGUUCAUAGGAAUGUUCACACUGAGGUCAUGUCUGACUGUUCUGUUCAUAGCAAUGUUCACACUGAGGUCAUGUCUGACUGUUCCGUUCAUAGGAAUGUUCACAGUGAGGUCAUGUGUCUGACUGUUCCAUUCAAUAGGAAUGUUCACAGUGAGGUCAUGUCUGACUGUUCCAUUCAUAGGAAUGUUCACAGUGAGGUCAUGUCUGACUGUUCCAUUCAUAGGAAUGUUCACAGUGAGGUCAUGUNNNNNNNNNNCGUCGUGAAUGCUCCGUAGCUGCUGGUGGACUCGGUCACUGAGUAGGGCUGGUUUGAAAGAUCAUUUUAGGGACAAGGCACAUCUGUACCAAAAAGUGUCCAAAACAUCAUUAGACCCUUUUCUAUACACACACACACACACACACACACACCUCUCCAUCCAAAUGACACUAUCCCUCAGAGGUUUGUGUGUGUGUGUGGCCACAGUAUAAAUGAUUGUGCACGUGCAUGGCGGGAGAGCGACCUGAUUUCUUCCUAACUGUACUGUCGUCUCAGGUCAUUAUAGCCUAUUAAGUAUACGUUCAGGGGGGGGUAAUACUGUCUAUUACUACAUGAACCUAAUCUGUCCACAGAUAUUCUAACAAUGUAAUAAAAUAAGGAAUUUGAAUUGGUUUAAGGAGAAGAUGUAGACAACAGGAAGGAGCAGAGGAAAGAGCUUGUUUCUCUGAUUAUAUCAACAAUGCAGGAAGGAAGAGAGUAAGAGAUUACGAGGAGGAGAGGAAGAGGAUACGAGGAGGAGAGGAAAAAAUGAGGAUAGGAAGAAAGGAAAGAAUAGGAGAACAGGCCCUGUGAUAGACCAGCGUUCAGGGGUCUACUGGUACAUCAAGCUGCCUCACUCAAACAGAAACAGGCGAUGGACUCCUGCCCUAUGGGCCGUUAUCGGCUCUAAACAGGGCUACUUCCUUUUACAGUAGAAGUAAAUCAAUAGUGUUGAGAGGAGGGAAACACAAGAGGAGAAGUAAUUGUCACAAGGAUAAACCACACCAAGGCAUUACAGUAGCUGGAGCUUUGGGAGUUGACAAAUAGGACUAGUCUCGUGUUUUCUAGAGUCUUCUAGUUACUAUUGAAAAGUAUAUGAUUUCCCUCUUUAAUAUCCCGGGUAGGCUUUAAAGACCGCUAGGGGAAAUAGAACUGUUCAAAAUCGACAAAACACAAUAUCUACAGUACAGAUCCAAUACCUUGUCAUUAUUACAAGGAUAAACACAAUCAUUCACUAUAACUGAAGUUUUAAAAAAAGGUACCCACCUGAAACAAUACCACUACAGUUUACUAUAGAAUAUAUAUGUGUGUGUAUAUAUAUAUACACACAUACACAUAUAUAUAUAGAUAUAUACACACAUACACACAUACACAUAUAUAUAUAUACAUAUAUACACAUACAUAUAUAUAUACAUAUAUACACAUACAUAUAUAUAUACAUAUAUACACAUAUAUAUAUAUACACAUAUAUAUAUAUACAUAUAUAUACAUAUAUAUAUACAUACAUAUAUAUAUACAUACAUAUAUAUAUACAUACAUACAUACAUACAUACAUACAUAUAUAUAUACACACAUAUAUAUAUACACAUACAUACAUACAUACAUACAUACAUACAUACAUACAUACACAUAUAUAUAUAUAUACACAUACAUACAUACAUACAUACAUACAUACAUACAUACAUACACACACACAUACAUACUAUAGAAAACUACAGUAGUUAACAGAAGAGGACUGGCCACCCCUCAUAGCCUGGUUCCUCUCUAGGUUUCUUCCUAGGUUUUGUCCUUUCUAGGGAGUUUACCCUAGCCACCGGGCUUCUACACCUGCAUUGCUUGCUGUUUGGGGUUUUAGGCUGGGUUUCUGUACAGCACUUUGAGAUAUCAGCUGAUGUACGAAGGGCUAUAUAAAUAAAUUUUGAUUUGUAUGUAUGUAUGUAUGUAUGUAUGUAUGUAUGUAUGUAUGUAUGUAUGUAUAUAUAUAUAUAUGUAUGUAUGUAUGUAUACACACACAUACAUACUAUAGAAUACUACAGUAGUUAACUUUUAGAACCAAUCCUAGGUCAACUCUAAGGACAGCUAGGAUACAGCUGCACAGCAUCAACGGUGUCUAGGUGUUACUAAACAGGAGAUCAGUUCCUCCUUUAAUAUACAUCCUGGAUGAAGUGUAGUAAAGUAGGCCUUUAAAAAGACAGCUAGGGGAGAACGUAGGGCUGACUGCACAACAACAACAACAACAACAACAACAUUACUGGUCUCUAUUUUCCAGAACGCUGUGUCAAGAUUAAUAGUUCCUCUCUCUCAUCCAAAUGCAGUCUCCUCAGAUUCUGAGUAUACUAUAAUCACUUCACUGUUUACUUGAAACCCUGUUACACUCUACCAUCAGCCCUGCAUAUCAAUACCUACAGACCUCUACCAUCAGCCCUGUACAUCUCUACCUACAGACAGCAGACCUCUACCAUCAGCCCUGCACAUCUCUACCUACAGACCUCUACCAUCAGCCCUGCAUAUCACUACCUACAGACCUCUACCACCAGCCAUGUACAUCAAUAACUACAGACCUCUACCAUCAGCCCUGCACAUCUCUACCUACAGACCUCUACCAUCAGCUCUGCAUAUCACUACCUACAGACCUCUACCAUCAGCCCUGUACAUCUCUACCUACAGACCUCUACCAUCAGCCCUGCACAU
rnacentral:lncRNA from 13 species